CUUUAAACCUUAUACAACUUUCAACAACGGAUCUCUUGGCUCUCGCAUC
rnacentral:rRNA from 1 species